rnacentral:rRNA from 1 species
GCAUCGAUGAAGAACGCAGCGGAACGCGAUAUGUGGCGGGAGCCGCCGUCGCGGUAAGAAAUUACCAUGCGGAUCGUCGAAUCUUUGAACGCACAUUGCGCUCCCCUUCAAAAGGGAGCAUGCCUGUCCGAGAGUCCCGAGCACCAUCCCGCGAACCCCUUGCGGGGCCUUUGGCGGUCGGACCCGUUGGGGUUCGUCGCCGGAAACGCAGACCGUCCCGGUCGUCGGCCGAGGCUCACGCCUCGGUCCGGGGGCUCCCAGGCUUCGGGUCCACGGACACCGGCCGGGAUAAAAGUUCCCCGACACGGCGACCAGGCGAGGAGGGCCCUUUGGCCCUCGCCCUUGGACCUCGGAUCAAGCAGGACCACCCGCUGAACGUAAGCAUAUCAAUAAGCGGAGGA